UCUAAGUAUGAACUGGUUUAAGGUGAAACUGCGUACGGCUCAUUACAUCAGCUAUAACUUUCUUUGAUCAUAAAUUCUAAAUGGAAUAACCGAGGAAAAGCCUGGGCUAAUACAUGCGAAAAUUUCGGUAGUAACAUAUCGAAAUGCUUUUAUUAGAUGAAAACCUUCUAGUUCUUUUUAAAGGGAACUGUUUGUUGGUGACUCUAAAUAACUUUGUGUUGAUCGUAUGACCUUUGUGUCGACGACAUAUCUUUCAAGUGUCUGACUUAUCAACUUUAGACGGUACAUUAUAUGUCUACCGUGGUUGUAACGAGUACAGAGAAUCAGGGUUUGGUUCUGGAGAGGCCGCCUGAGAAACGGCGACCACUUCCAAGGAAGGCAGCAGGCGCGCAAAUUACCCACUCUCAAAACGAGGAGGUAGUGAAGAGAAAUAACGAUGUUAGUCUAUUAUAGGCUGACAAUCGGAAUGGGAACACUGUAAAUAGGUUAUCGAUUAACAAUUGGAGGGCAAGUCUGGUGCCAG
rnacentral:rRNA from 1 species